AAGCCAUGAUGAGGGCUUUUUCUCAAAAGGUACUUGAACAUUUCAUGGGCCUCAAAGAUUGUCUCUAAAUAACCUUGUCUGAAAGCUGAAAUUUCUUGUCUUAAUCU